UCCGUCCAUCAUAAUGGAAUAGGAGGACAGUGAAGUUCCCUGAAAACUUUUUAAUGUUUGCAUCAAUAUUUUUUCUCUGAUCAUAACCAACUGUGAAGGUUACAAGAUAUUUUGGUGUGCUGGUCAAGUCCUCACUAGGCUUACCCCACAAUCUGCGUAAAUAGAAAUCUGACUCAGCUUCAACAAUUCCUGGUGGCAGUCUUUCUGCACCACGGGGAUUUGAAGGGACCCAAAUCUUUGAUGUGUCAUUCAGAUUUUGCACUUGAGUUGUCUUAUUAUUAUCCUUCCUUGAAUACGAAGAACUGGACGGAGUUUCAGUGGGCAAGCCUAAUUUUCUGCUAUCAACGUAUGAGAGAUCAACAGAAGGAAGAAGGCUGGAUGAGAUAUUCAGCUUAGUCAAGGACAACGUUGGAAAAGAUACCCCUAUCAAGAAGCCAAAAACAACUCCAAGAAAAGUUGUUACAAUAAGCCUCAUUGUCUCAUUUGGUUUUUUACUAACCGUACUUCUUGAAAGGAUUCCCAUUCUAUUUACAAUAGUAUCUUGAUAUUUACAAGGAAUAUGAGCAGCAAUGUAAAAAUUGAAACUGGUUUGCUGUUUGUUAGGCCCUGAAUAAACAGAUUCUGAAUAGCUAAAGCAAGAUCAAGCGAAGGGGUAGUUAAGAAACCAAUAAAUCAGGAGAAACCCACUUCACAAAGAAAUAAAUCUGGGGUCCAACAGAGUUAGAAAAAUGAGAAAACUCGUGAUCGGCUGCUGGAGUUUGAAAAACAGAGUGGAAAGAAGAAAAGAAAGAAUUUUCCGGGGAAAAAGAAAAGGCAGUGAUUGGUGGGUAACUGGGUAUCUGUCUUCCGUUCUUCUGGCGAAGCUCUGGAAAAGGGAAAAUUGGAUCUUGUAGAGUAGAUAUGUAGAAUCAAUUCUAUUCCAUUUUCCGUUACUUGGGUUUUUCUCUUGAAGAUAUGUUAAAAAGACUUCUCCUUUGGGUUGAAUUUUCAAGUGAAAGUAUCAAACUUU
rnacentral:misc_RNA from 1 species